UUAUUUUAGUUGAUAGGCAAAGAGAUGAAAUGCUGGAUGCCAUUGCUCUACGUGCUCAAGCUUUAAUCUUUCAUUUUAAUCAGAUAGAUGGUCUUUUUAAAGAUAGAGAACAUGUUGCUGUAGACAACUUGCAAAUUGCAUCACUGCUUGCACUUUUAGUGUCGGAUCAUUUUGGUGGAAGUGACAAAAGUAGUAUUGUACAGAAGGCAAGGAAAAAUGUAUCUGGG
rnacentral:misc_RNA from 1 species